rnacentral:rRNA from 1 species
UACGGGGGGGGGCAAGCGUUGUUCGGAAUUACUGGGCGUAAAGGGCGCGUAGGCGGCCUACUAAGUCGGACGUAAAAUCCCUCGGCUCAACCGGGGAACUGCGUCCGAUACUGGUGGGCUCGAAUCCGGGAGAGGGAUGUGGAAUUCCAGGUGUAGCGGUGAAAUGCGUAGAUAUCUGGAGGAACACCGGUGGCGAAGGCGGCAUCCUGGACCGGUAUUGACGCUGAUGCGCGAAAGCCAGGGGAGCAAACGGGG